GGGACGGAGGAGGAGAGUGAUGCGCCCGCACGUCACCGGCUGUGAAUCGGUGACGCUGGUUUGGGGCGGAGUUAACGCGUGGAGAAGCUGGUCUCGGAGCAGCAGUGCGGGGGUUCAGCUGACUUUAAAGAGGCUGACCUCUGACUCCUUCAGGCCCGCUGCAGAAUUCUUCAUGAGGUGGAUUUCACGCUUGAGAGACGCAUUGUGCUACAGGUGUUAAGGCCAAAUAAAUUCCCGGGGGGGCGCUGUGUACACUUUAAAGGUCCAGGUGGAGGAACUAAGUGGUUAAUUAAGUGGAAUGGAAGAGGAUGAAGACAUAAUUCAAACUUUACUUUAAGAUAAUAUACUUAAGUGUGAUGUGUACUAUUGUGUAUUAAUAUUAUUAUUAAUAUUAUUUGUGCAUCUUAGAUUUUUACUCUGUUUCUUUAGCCUAAUUAAGCAAAUCAUAUCACAUUCAGUUCAUGGGUUAAUCAGUGGCAGUCUGAAAGGGCUGCUGCUAUGACCUCAUGCCACUUGUGGUUAACAGUGCUUUUAGUUACCUUAGUACGUAGGAUUGCUUUUGUUUGUUUAUUAACAGGGUUGUUUAAAAGUUUGGGACUGAUCUUGAGGAAGAAUUUAUCAGAGGUGAGGUUCAGCUCAACUUAGAAGUGAUUCAUUUCUAGAGCUCGAUCCAGUUCUGGAUCUACACAUUUCUGAGAUGAUUCUUUAGCAAUGUGAUAAAAUUGCGUAUUUUAUGUAAUUUUGUCACAAAGAGAAAUACACCCCCCAAAUUUUUUAAAAUCAUUUUUAAAUGAAAACAUAAGAAACUAAUACAGAUCUAAAUAUCUUUCUGAUCCAGAAGAUCAUUUAGGCUUAAUGAAGAUUCAGUUAAAUCUUUAAUGUUGAUGAAUAAACACC